AGUCGUCCUUCCCUCCCCCUUUCAAGAAGGUGGCCGUGCUCUCUUGUACCUGUGGCUUGAGGGAUUCUUUUGGAACGGGGAGCCCCUGAGAGCAGAAGGUGCCUGAAACCAGUGGCUCAUCCAGUCUUUAAUGAAAGCCCAAGUCCAUUGAAGUGAUGGGUGAUGCUGAGUGUUGCAGGAGAGGUGCAGGAGGGAAGUGGGGGAGGAGAAAAGAGAAUAUGAAGGCACAGUGAGAUAUCUACCAAACUAUUCCUUCCUCCAAGGCCUCUCCACG
rnacentral:lncRNA from 1 species